UAACAUUGGUUAUUUUUUAAUUUUGGUUUUAUAACAUUAUACCAAAAAUUCAAAAUCUAAGUUUAUCAGUUUAUUAAUAGACGAAGUAAAAUGGUUAUUAAAAAUGAUACUUUAAACUAGUACAAUUAUGAGAAGGUAACUUUAAAGCAUUUUGGUUAUUUUGCUUCUAAAAACUUUGUACCAGCAUUUAGACACUCAACACCAUUUCACAUUAACCAAAGAAUGUUAAUGUGAAAAGGACCCUGGAGAUCAUCUUUCUCAAAUGAGAAAAUUGAUACUCUGAAACUGAUAAAGGUCUCUCAGUGCUUGGGAAGGGAAAAGAACUCAGGUAUUUUAGUACCCUUUUCAUUAUAUCACUGUGCUUGUAACAUUCAGUUACAUUCAUUCUAUUGUUGUUUGAGGUAUCUAAUUUUAACAACUAGUAUGUAAGCUCUGUUGUAUAGCUUUUAUACCUUCUAUAUUCUUGAAUGAGCUCUUACAGGAGCUGGUCAAUAAUGAAUAAUUCAGUUAGUGCAUACUGGUAGGUUGGUGUUUUCCUUGAUUUGAGUGCAUAGUUUUAACUUAGAAUGUUCUGGUUCCCAUUUUAAUGCUUAAAAAAUUAGUAACACUUAGAUCAUGUAAAUGAUCUUAUUUGAAUUAACUAGAAAACUGUGGAUUUGGUAUACUAAUAUUGAAGCCUAAAGUACAGGCUAUUCUUAGUUAAAAUAGAAUGAUAACAGAAAGGUGUAUGAAUAGCACCUGUAUGUAAGCUAAUCUGGACGAUUGGAGGAACAAUCAGGAGAAUGACAAAUUUAAAAGUCUUUGAUUAUUGGAAGAUAAUUACUUUCACAGAUACUAAUUGUAACAUAAUGAUAGCUCUUUUUUCCAAUCAAAAACCUACACUCUGAAAUUUUGUUGCCAAAACAAAUUAGAAACCUAUAAUGUUGUAAUAUAAUUCUGUUCAGUUAAAAUUGUGUGUGUGUUUUGUUAGGUCUAAUAUGGGUCCAGGAUGCCCAGAAACAAAGUAUUUAAUAUCAUUAAAUGUGUAAUACACUCUAUAAUAUAUAGAAUUGUUGUGUGAUUAAUCACCAUUUAUUGAGCACCUGAUUUGACUUGAUUAUUAAGAUGGAACAGUGCUUUUAUAAUAAAAUUAAUGAAAGUUAAAGGCAUAUAAAGAUAUGAGUAGAUGUCUCGUCUUCUAGACAACUCACUGUAGAUUUGAAUGACCCAGUACAGAUAAUAUAGGAACUGAAUUGGGCCUUAUGAGAUUAAUUAGCAACACUCUAAUAAAUAUGAUGAAGGGAUGUGGCAUUUCACAUGGAGGUUCAAAGACCGAGGGACAAAGGCAUGGAAAUAGGCAAAGCAGUGUUUGGGAGUUGGCAGAUCAGUGUAGCUGAGGUGAAGUGUUCAUGUGGGAAGCCCUUAGAAAGCUGGAAACCCUUAGAAAGCUGUGUAAGAGCCAGAAUGUGAAAUCCUUACCUUCAUGUUUCUACUGUCUUUUUUUUUCCAUUGCUGGGAAUAAAAUGAUAUGCUAAAAUGGGGUGGUGGAAAUGGAAAAACAUUUAGAAUCACUGAAAGAAACUUUGUGAACAGGUGGUGAGAUAACCUAGUAUGAACUUAUUAAAUGUUAGCGUUAUGUAUAACCAGAGGUUUGUUUGGGUCUUUAAAUGCAGAUUAAAAUAAUUUAACACUUGACUCUUGCCAGGACUUUUAGCUCCCCGAAAUCCUAUAUGCCUAUACUAUUCUAUAUUUCUUUCUGCCUUAUGAACAUACAUCUCUGGAUUAUUACCAUCAACCUAAAUCCAGGCCGCCUCCUUCUCUUGAUUUCUUGUAUAUCAGUUUGGUGUCAUCAUUAUUCAUUUAUCCACUGAUUCAAUUCAGAAUUCUGUGAGGCAUCCUAGUCUUUUUCUCACUACUUCAUCAUUAUAUCCAGGCAGUCACUCAAUUCUGUUUUUUUUCUCUCUCCUUAAACAGCUCUCAGCAUAAUUUCUUUUCAUAAUCCAUACUAUUUAGCUAACCCAACUCUAUUCUUUCCAAGAAAUUUUAGCAGCCUCCAAGAGGUUUUAUUUCCCCCAGCUUCUCCCACCCCAGUUCAUUUUCUAAGUGGUAUCAGAAAUAUUUGCCUGUCUCUCUUAAGUGUAGUCCCUCCUUUGUUUGUUUGUUUUUUAUGCCAUUAACUGGUUGGGUCAGUUGUCCUAGAGAAUAUUUUAUAAUCUGGAUAUUUUUCUGUGCUUCCUCAUGUUGUCAUUUAACUUGUUCCUCUAUUUCCUGUUAAUUUGAAAUUUGGGCUAAAAGCUUGAUUAGGGUUGUUUUGGGUAUAUGGACAUUUUCCGUAUCCAUUGUUUAUAGCUGUAUUCAUGGGUUAGAUUCCUAGAGGUAGGAUUGCUGCAUCAAAAAUACAAAAGUCCUUUUUCUAGACAUUGUCAGAUUCCUAUCCAUAAGGGUUGUUUGAUUUUAUGCCUAUGAUUUUUGAGAGUGCUUGUUUGUUCCCCUACUUUCUGGUCAAUAAACAUGUGCCUAACUUGGAUUUUGGCCCAUCUGAUGUAUAAAUUAUAAUAUUUGCUUGGUUCUUUUUAUGAGCAAUUUCUUCUGUUAGUUGCCCAUUCUUUUUUUGUUUUUUGAUUUGGUUGUUUUGUUUUUUUUCCUUGAUUUUUAGAAACUUCAUGUAUAAUUGAGAUGUUAAAUUUUCACUUAUAUACCAUUUUCUGUGUUAAAUUGCACAAAAAAACACAGUUUGCUAUUUUGCACAAAUUUUACUUAUGUAUAUUUAUACCAUGCAAAUUUUUUUUAAAUUGUGUAUGGAUAGUUGAAUUACCAAAUUUUUGUUGUUUCUGAAGUCAUAAUUAGGAAAGUUCCAUUGAUUUGUUAUUCAGGUGUUGGCACAACUCUUAAUUAUAAAAAUAUUUUUUUAUAUAGUAGGACUAGCACCCCUCCUAUAUUGCUCUUCUUUUAUAGGAUUUUCUUGGUCAUUCAUGCUUGCUUAAUGGAUUGAAAGUUUAUUUUACAAAUAAGGAAAUGAACUGUUCAUAGGUGUUCUAUGACCAUGUAGUAAUGACAAAUACUAACAAUAAUUUUUCUUAAGGGUUUCUUUAUAUGAAGGUUAAAUGUAGCAAUCUUUUUGCAAGUGACUGAAACCAUGUAUAAGGAUAUAUAAUUAAAAAGAAGAAAGGUAAGGGUGUAUUGGGAACAUUUUUCUCAAAUCAGCAGUUUCUAAAGUGUGGUCUGUGGAUCACUACCAUCUUAGCACAGGUCAAAGCAAUGGCAUCAUAUUGUAACAGUAAUCACAAUUUUCCUCACAACUCUGCAUUCACAGUAAAAUAUGUCAGUUGGCAGUCAAGAAUAGCCUUGAUGAAACAAUAAAAAUUAUACAUUUUAUUAAAUCUUGAUCAUUUAACACAUCUUUUU